CCAAACAGAUUCUUCAUGCUAGUUGGUGGGAGAGAACUAAAGUACGCUAGCUUGACAGGGUGAAGGAAGAACAGUGCUCAGACGCUUCACAACAUAACAUCGGUGCAAUGGCUGUUCCUCCUUCAUAUUCAGACCUGGGCAAGACUGCCAAGGACAUAUUCAGCAAGGGCUAUGGCUUCGGCAUUGUGAAGUUGGACCUGAAGACCAAGUCUCAGAGUGGAGUGGAGUUCAACACAUCAGGUUCCAGUAACACAGACACGGGGAAGGCAGCAGGUAACCUGGAGACCAAGUACAAGAUGAAGGAGCUGGGCCUGAGCUUCAACCAGAAGUGGAACACCGACAACACCCUGGCUACAGAGGUCACUGUGGAGGACCAGCUGGCUCAGGGACUCAAGGUGGCCCUGGACACAUCCUUCGUACCAAACACGGGCAAGAAGAGUGGCAAGCUGAAGACUGGCUACAAGCGUGACUUCCUUAAUGUGGGCUGUGAUGUUGACUUCGAGGGUCCCAUAAUCCACGCAGCAGCCGUGGUGGGCUAUGACGGCUGGCUUGCCGGGUACCAGAUGGCCUUCGAUAUGGCCAAGUCCAAACUGGCCCAGAACAACUUCGCCCUGGGAUACAAGGCUGGAGACUUCCAGCUCCACACCAACGUUAAUGAUGGGACUGAGUUUGGAGGUUCUAUCUACCAGAAGGUGGAUGACAAGCUGGAGACGGCGGUCACUCUGGCCUGGACGGCCGGCAGCAACAACACACGCUUCGGCAUCGCAGCCAAAUACGCCCUGGACAAAGAUGCUUCCCUGUCUGCCAAAGUGAACAACGCCAGCCUGAUUGGAGUCGGCUACACCCAGACCCUCAGGCCAGGUGUGAAGGUGACUCUGUCAGCCCUGAUCGACGGGAAGAACUUCAACACCGGCGGCCACAAAGUGGGCCUGGGCUUCGAGCUGGAGGCAUAGAGCGGCAGGGAACAAGACCCAACAACCAAGAGAAGAGCCCAGAACCAAUCACCCCCAUUCCCAACCCCACACACCCUACCACAGCCCUUAUCCAAAACAAUCAUCCUGUAGACACUCCAUUCCCACCUCUCUCUCACACACCACAGUCCCUUUACACUCACACACAUCGAGUGUUUUGGCAGUAAUAGUCAAACCUGUGGCCGUCAUGUCCAUCUUGUCUAAAGUGGCUAAAAUACAUGAAUGAAUAGAGAGACCGAGAGAGGCAUUCUGUAAUGUCAUGGCCGUUAUAGUCUAGCCUUUUGGUUUAGUUGGUUAGUUAUCACUACUAGUCAUCUUGUUUGAAAUGGAGUGUUUCAGUCUGAGUGCAUAAAGGCAAGCACUGGGGAUGGAUACCUCCCCUUUUAGCUGACGUUGUACAGAAACACUGGCUAAGUUUUUUUGUAAAUCUUCUGACUGGUUACUGAAGCGGCACUAAUAUUUCAGUAGGCGUUUGGCUGAGUAGUCUUCGGUAAACGUGUCGCUCGGCGUGAACUUACGUUUAUUUUCCCCUUCGUAUUUCAUUGUAAGCAUGUCUGAAUGAAUACCGGGUGUAGGACAGGAGGCUUAGUAAGGAUGGAAGCCGGAUGCAUUUGAAGCCCGGUGUUCUCUUGGUUUAAAAAGAAUGCCGUCUGUUUCUUUUGUAUUGGUUCGAGUAUAAAAUGUUUCGGUGUAUUUUGGUUGUGCUGUGUUCAGUUGUGGACCAUGUUGUCCGUUAAACCCAGUGUGAUCGUAGGAUGUUUGUGAUUUUGGAUGGGCACAACUUCAAUUGUAUGCCACUUCAGCCAAUUUUCUUUCAAUUCCUGACUUGACCGAACUGAGAUUUUAAGUGAGCCCAACCCUGAGAGGGAACCAACCAUUUCACCACCGCUACAGUCUGCUGUUACUGUAACUACACUGAAUACGGGAGUCUGCAGGAGAGUUUAAGGAAGAUUCUACAUUACGCAUACAGCGCUACAGACAGAAGGACCUAUUAGGAUUGUUGUCGGCUGAAUGCAGUUCUACAUGUCCCAAAACGCAAUAUUUCUUAAUUUCCUUGUCUUUGCUCUGAGGCCACUCGUCUUUAGAGGACAGCUGUGGUGAAAUCUUCCCAGUAGGUGAGGAAAGAUGUCAUUUCUACAGUGUUGCUUAUAUCGAUCUACUCUUAAGAUCUGUGGUCACAUGAAGAGGGAUGAGGAUGUUGUUGCUCAUGCUGCUUUAGACUUACACUCCUUCCUGGCUGUCAUUGGUGCCCCUGGGAGCCAAACGACCCUCCCUGUAUGUCCCACUCUCUGUACAUAGUAUACAUAUUCUCCUCCUGAGUUUCAACACUGAUACGGUGAGACAACAUUUAAAGGGAUGCUGUUGUAUAGGCUCGGUCCCUCCUUUACCAAGUCAUAAACCAUGACUCCAUGUAUCUUUGUUUUCUUUCCAAUUUUGUCAUAAUUAUGAAUCUUUUUGAAUUGGUUGUGUUCAAGACACAGCAUCUCGUUUUUUCCCCCCAACCUCAAGUAAUGGAAUUCUAAUUAAAAAAAGCUUGUCUUGA